GCAGCUCUCUUCCCCACCCUUUGGGGCACUAGAGGCCAUUGUACCGCCAGGACUUGGAGGCUGGCUCUGGGCAAUCUGCUCGAGCCUCGUGUCCUCUUGGUUUUAGGUCUUUGGAAAAUUCUUCUCCGUCGGACAGAGAAGAUCCUUCCUACAGACAGCAGUGCUGGCCAUCCAUGACCCCCUGCUACGUGUUAGCCAGGCUGGACUGGUGCUCGUCUACUCCCUCCUGGGGGAAGCCCAGCAACUGAUGGGGAGACGCACGAGGAUGUCACAGCCAAGGUCAUGUGCGAGCUUCACAUCAUCCGGCACUUGCACCAGAUGCCCGAGGCGUUGCAAGGGCUGUGGCUCAUCUGAUGCUCUUAAAGAUUCCCCUCCCUGUUCAGCAAGUCCCGCUCCCUGCUGCAGGUACUGCUCUGUCUCACUGUAAAUGGGGGGCUAGUGAAAGCAGAAAUGGAGGCCCCUGGCACUCACAGAAACUCUCUCCCCUCUCUGUGGAGCUGGGUCCUUCCCUCGGCCACCCAAAUUCCUUCAUGUGGGGCAGGAGCUCUUUCCCUCACACCCAUAUCCCUCCCCUCUUUCCUUGAUCUCACCCCCAUCCCAUUCCCCGUGCUCCCAGGCAGAGAUCUUCCUGCCCCAUAUGGCGCAGAAGGACCUUUGGGUCAGGGCUACAGACUGUCUGCCCAACUGAAGCUCAGGAAGCUCCACAUUUGAGGAGGUGAGGAUGGGACAGAGGCUCAGGGCUUGCUUCAUCUCCUGCCCUUUAUUCUUCUUUUGGCCCUUCUCUGGGCUCUCCGAGUCUGACAUGAAGAGGAGCCUCCUCCCCCUGUGUGUUCUAGGCCCUGGGGUGUGUGACAGCCUCCCAGAUGGGUGCAGUCAGAAGCUGAACCACCUCAGGGAGCAGUGGGGACAGGUCCCUUGUCCUAGGACACAAAGCAGUGAUAGUUCUCAAAGAGGUUGAGAGGGAAGACCCCGCUCCCUCAUGGAGGUAAGAGCCAUUGACUUCUUUGGGCAUAUGGGUUUCUCACUGUCCCUAAGGAAGGGGACAGAGAAGACCCUAGAAACCCAAGAAGGGCAGGCCGAACCAAAAUCAGGCUGAGGAAGAACUCCCCACGAGGGUGGAAGGCCUUGUUUCUGUUCAAGACAUUUUUGGACUUUGUUUGCAAGGAGCACGACCCAGGAAGGAGUGGAGUAAAGGCCAGUCACCUGGUUGGAGGGCUGAGUUCCCAGCCAAGAAACUGCAAGAGUGAGUAUUAGCGGGGUUGCUAGCCCAGCUAGAAAGCGGUGACACGAGGCCUGGCCAGCAUCUCGCGGUGAGUGAACUCUGGUACACACCCAAACUGGCUGUGUCUGGAGCCCUGUGUAGCCUCUUCUGUGGGGGUCAGUGGGGCCUGAAUCUCUCCUGCUCCUUUGGUCUCUUUGGGCUUCACAUGAGAUGUCUGGUGAACUGCCCUUGGACUCUGGGCCCAGCACCGCUCAGAAAUUAUUCGCUACCUUCAGAGAGACAGGGCACAGCUCAGCCUGUUGGGAAGGCUGGAGACUCACACUUCACUCAAACACACAACACUGAGAUGGUUUGGGAAGCCAAGCAAAAGAAAGAGACAAAUUUCAACCAGAGAAACAUAACACGACACACUUUGUAGUGACUAAAACUGAAACUUAACAAGUCACAUUCUUUGCCUUAGCAGUUUCCAGACUAACAUCUCAGCUUUCCUAACAGACCUUCUUUGAAGUGCCUGUAGGGUACAAAACGUCUCUGUCGAAUCCGCUGAUUUGAUUGCUUCGCCUUCUGGUUUCAGACCCUCUGUUCUCCUUCUGGGCUGCCUGGACCCUGACUGUAACAUCUCUCUGGCCCAGCCUCUUACACAGAUGUGUGCUGCAGCCAGCCCAGCGCAGGGAGCAGUGGGGACAGAUGAUCUCCUCCUGUCAGACCAAGCAACAUGGGUCCCAUUGAGGCUUAGAUGGAAGAUCCCAGGCAUCUCCUGGAGAGGAUGCACCCGGGACCCUGGAGACUGUUUCAUGCAGGAGGUUUGAGUGGGGAGAGAUCACUCACUGUCAUGACCCAUGGGUCAUUAACCCGGGUCUGCAGGGUUCCUGGGAGCAGCCACCCUCCAGCACGCCACCUGGAAGCCUACGAAAAACUGCUUAGCUAGGACUGACGAAGUCCAGACCCAGUUUGAGGCUCCUAUUGGCAGAGUCCCAGAGCAGCUAAUCUGCCCCCAGGACCUCCUAAAACCAGCAGCAGGAAGAAGAAGCUGUCUGAACAGCCAAGCUCCUCCCUGGCUCUGGAACGUGUGUUGGCUGUUCCUGCUCCCACUCCCCAGGCUUGAUUUCCUGGCAUCAGGACUUGGGGUGACUCAUCUGACUUGAGGUUCUGAACACAAUUUGGUCUUUUGCUUCUGCUCUUCCAGUGUCCUGACCCAGCUGACUCUCGACUCCUGUCUUGUGAGUGUGGCCUCUGCCUCUGACCACUAGGUCUGGCUGCCCAUGACCCGGCCAUGACACUGACUUUUCUACAAUUCCUCCAAUGCCCUUUUCUGCUCUCCAGCUCUGCUCUCCCAGCAAGACACAACGAUCCCUUGGCUCCCAGAGUCCUGCUUGCCUGCUAGUCAAGGGCUCAUGGGGAGUGCUUGUCUUGCCCCCUCCCCCACCACAGCUGCUUUUCCUCUGGGACUCUCCCUAACGCAGAGGAGAAUCCGUCCUGGCAGUAAUUCAGGAAAUCACAGAAGGGACGAUCUGCUCAGCUCCCUCUGCAAUGCCACUGCCCGAGACCAUUACGAGUGGGUGCCCAGUGACUGCACCGGCAGCUCUUUGAGAGACUCCUGAGGGCAGGGUAGUCGUGUUUCACGGUGACCGCGGGAAGCCAUGCAAAGAGUGCGGCAUUGAGGAGACUCUCCUGCUGUCCCAAAGGGUUUCUGUUCUCCUGCACGGUCAGACCAUGGGGCCAGGUUGCAGAAUGGGGAAGAGCUGUUUGGUGAUGAGUUGGAGGAUUCACCAUACAGGUGGCAGCAGCUGCAGAUCCUGGAGUCCCUGUGGUAGGGUUACCAUGCGUCCGGAUUUUCCCGGACAUGUCCGCCUUUUUGGGUUUUAAAUUGGCCUCCGGGAGGAAUUUGUAAAAGUCUCAAAAGGUCCAGGAUUUCCCUCCCAAUGCAGCACUCUGGGGGCA